rnacentral:rRNA from 1 species
CCUACGGGAGGCAGCAGUGGGGAAUAUUGGACAAUGGGCGAAAGCCUGAUCCAGCAAUGCCGCGUGAGUGAUGAAGGCCUUCGGGUCGUAAAGCUCUUUUACCAGGGAUGAUAAUGACAGUACCUGGAGAAUAAGCUCCGGCUAACUCCGUGCCAGCAGCCGCGGUAAUACGGAGGGAGCUAGCGUUGUUCGGAAUUACUGGGCGUAAAGAGUACGUAGGCGGUUAUUCAAGUCAGAGGUGAAAGCCCGGGGCUCAACCCCGGAACUGCCUUUGAAACUAGAUAACUAGAGUCUUGGAGAGGUUAGUGGAAUUCCGAGUGUAGAGGUGAAAUUCGUAGAUAUUCGGAAGAACACCAGUGGCGAAGGCGACUAACUGGACAAGUACUGACGCUGAGGUACGAAAGCGUGGGGAGCAAACAGGAUUAGAUACCCUGGUAGUCCACGCCGUAAACGAUGAUAACUAGUUGUUCGGUCACUUGGUGUACUGAGUGACGACAGCUACGACAUUAAGUUAUCCGUCCGUCGGGUAGGUACGGUCGCGAGAUUAAACUUAAAGUAAGUAGUAGACGNGUGAGACGCGACGACGACGACGACGAGGAGAG